GAGAUGGCACUUGAAAACUCGUACAGAAAUCUAUCAACUUGACUUAGAGGAAGAAGUGGCAGGGGGUAGGUCGGCUGUUUUAAGUCCGGAUGGUUCCUCUUGUUGGCAUGGCGUUGGUAUGCCUCGCUAUCCUUAAAUCUAUGGACAGGGGAGAUAGAACUUUUGCUUUUCGAUACCCCGAGCCGAUACAUGAAAAAAGAGGGAUAAUAGUAGUAGCAAGGGUGCUGUAUUGGGUCAGUCAAAACUUACUACUUCCACAUUGGUACACGGCUCCGCCGUAGAUCUAUCAUAUAAAUUUCUAUUCUGGAAAAGCGAACCCGCUGAUAAAGAAUUUUAUACCGAGGUUGGAGUUAGUCAACUCAAUAA
rnacentral:lncRNA from 1 species